UGUCAGUUCUCUAGGUAGAUAGAGGGGUCUGCACAUGACUAUCAUCACCUCUAAAUCAGGAGAGCAGUAUCUGUUUAUAACACGGCUGUUGGUGCACCAGUUAUUAUGAACGUAUAAACAAAGAAACUUCUUGGCUGAGAAGUGAAACAUCUUCAA